rnacentral:rRNA from 1 species
UACGUAGGUGGCGAGCGUUGUCCGGAUUUACUGGGCGUAAAGGGAGCGUAGGCGGACUUUUAAGUGAGAUGUGAAAUACUCGGGCUCAACUUGAGUGCUGCAUUUCAAACUGGAAGUCUAGAGUGCAGGAGAGGAGAAUGGAAUUCCGUGUGUAGCGGUGAAAUGCGUAGAUAUACGGAGGAACACCAGUGGCGAAGGCGGAUUGCUGGACAGUAACUGACGCUGAGGCGCGAAAGCGUGGGGAGCAAACAGG